CACGUAGGGGGCAAGCGUUGUCCGGAUUUAUUGGGCGUAAAGAGCGUGUAGGCGGCCAGACAGGUCCGUUGUGAAAACUCGAGGCUCAACCUCGAGAUGUCGAUGGAAACCGUCUGGCUAGAGUCCGGAAGAGGAGUGUGGAAUUCCUGGUGUAGCGGUGAAAUGCGCAGAUAUCAGGAAGAACACCUAUGGCGAAGGCAGCACUCUGGGACGGUACUGACGCUGAGACGCGAAAGCGUGGGGAGCGAACAGG
rnacentral:rRNA from 1 species